rnacentral:lncRNA from 1 species
AUGGGACUGAAACAGAAAGUCAGGCCAGGAGAUUCCUGGGCAGCGCCAUUGUUUCAGCUGGUACAGUGCAUCACUGCACGGGAAAUCACACAGAUCCCGGCAUCCUUUCAGCAGGUGACUGAAACACCUGGGAGAGAGUCAACCGUUCAACUUAAAAAAAAAAAGGGAAUCUUAAUUCAUGGCUUAGGUUCAAUGCUUAGAAAGGGUCCUUUGCAUUAUUUUGUAUAUCAGCAUUGUAAGUCCUUUUCUGUACUCAUGUAAACCACCGGACAUGGAUACAGAAGUAUCUCUCAGGCCCUGUAACAGACUUGACCAUACCCAGGUAACUCCUGUGGAGGGAUUCGUUAGUUAGCCAGCUAGUUUUCUGGUCUUCCUAAUAAGCUUCCCCCAGAUCUUUCUUCUGGUGGCACACUGUGUACCCCAGGAGCUUCUCCCUACUCAUUCUUCAGGAGUGGUCCCAUGACCCAGAACUACAUGCAGAGUCCUGGUCCAAUCAGAUCCAUAAAUGCACAGUGAGAAAAAGACGCUAUCUCCAUCCUCGAAUAUGGCCAAACCACAGCUGCUUGUGGCCAUGUUCACUACCAUGUGGUGAUAACCUGGCUCGAGUAGGACAAGUUAGUGCUCAAAGCAAAGUGAAAGACUGACAGAGAUGAGAGCUGCAGCAGGAGAGAAAAAGCCACUGCAGUGUUGACUCUUCUAUCCCAGAGCCAAGGCCCUGCUUCCUACAGCCCCUCCUUUGUUGCUGUGGGUUUCCCUCAUCAUCUCCCCAUUUCUGGAUUACACAAGUCUGUGAUGGAUUUCUGCUAUUCACAACCAAAAGAGGCCUUACUAUCAUUGCCUCAUAAAACAGAAAUGAGAGUGACGCAACUGACAAUUAAAUGUUAUGGGUAAGAAAAGAGGCCUCGUUUUCUCUAUUGAGACUAGAAUUAUAAAGGAUGGAGAAACAGAAACAGAAAAAAACUUAAGAGUGUUAGAUUACAACAAAAGCUAGCAUUUGUGUAGUGCUCUACAAUUUUUAAAGUACUUUGAUAAUCAUUUAUUUCAUUUGACCCUCAAAAUAAUUCUGCAAAAUAGAAAGAGUAUAGUGUGUAAUUACACAUAUGUUGCCAACAUAACAGAAUGGUGUGUGCAAGUGUUUCCUGUGGUUCUGAAAUUGUAGCGAAGGUUCAUGGCUGAGGACAAAGGAUUCUGAAAUGUUUUAUAUUUUGAGUCCAAGGGACCCCCUAUUUGGAAGCCUAGCCGCUUUCUCUACAGUUUUACCGGGAAGGGCCAGUGCAGAGAAUCCACACAAUAAACUCCAAACCCAAAGGGAAUCAAGAAAAUCUCUUGUGAAUAUUGGGGAAUCUACAAGAAGUGAACGCUAGCAUAUCAUUCCCCAGCCAGACAUCAGUUUCACCAGCAGACCUGCCUUCUUGUCUCUAAACUGAAAGAGCACAGGAAAGGAAAAUGGAGAGAGAGAAGGUGGAGUGGGAAACUAAUGCUCAGAGAGGCUACUUUUUCAAGGCCACAAAUAGAGUUAGCAGCUGAUCUGAGGUCUGAAAAGAACCCUGAUGCUCACACAGAUCCACUGGGUAGGGGUCAGCUGAGACUUGGUAACAAACAGAUUGCUGGAUCCCACCCCUAGAGUCUCUGAUUCAGUUAGUUUGAGGUAGGGCCCAAGACUGAAUUUUUCACGAGUUUCCAAGUGGGGCUGAUACUCCUGAUCCAGGAACUUACUGGGAGAUAACUACUGUCUAGAUCAUUUCACUUCAAAUUCUGAACUCCUUGUACACUGCCACACUGCAUCCUUUUAACAAUGCAUUCCCUGUCCUGUUGCAAUACUGACAUCUCAUCAAUAUUUUAAAAUGUGAGUUUCCAGAAACAAUAUUUUACAUCAAAUACUCACUUUUUGUAAUACUUCUGCAAUUUUAUCCUAUGGGUCUGAAAUGUAACAAAGACUUUUCUGGACAUGGGCUACAAAAGUUGAGGCUGGAAGUUAAAAUUUUAAACCCUGCUGACCAUGUUAUUUUAAAGUGUAUUUGAAUUAAGAAUAAUAUGGCUUAGGAGCACGGCUAAACAGUAGCAGUAUACAUGGGGAAUGAUAACUUCGGAUUUGCACAUAAAAUGUACAUCAAGGGAAAAAAUAAAGCAGAAAAUAAACAAGAUGAACUGAAAAUACUGUAACAAAUGUUGGGCUGAAAUACUGCCAGGUGUGGAGGUGUAGGGAAAUGAACACACAUUUUGGUGGCAAGGCACAAAACUGUUUAAAUCCUUUUGCAGAAGUUUCUGAAAAACUGGCAUGGAUCUAUGAGCAGAGUUAUUGGGCUUAUCAUGUAGGCAAACCAACAAUAUCUGUAAGAACUGCCUUGUCCAGCCUUGGAUGUUGCAUAAAUCCUCUAAAAUAUCACCUCCACAUAUGCCAAGAAUGGAACACAGAGACA